AAUUAAUAAUAAUAAUAAUAAUAAUAGUAAUAAUAGUAAUAAAGUUAAUAUAAUAAUAAUAAUGAUAAUAAUAAUCAAUUAAUAAUAAUAGUAAAAAUAAUAAAAAUAGUAAUAAUAAUAAUUAAUAAUAAUGGUAAUUAAUGAGAAUAUUAAAAUAAAACGUAAAGAAGAAAAAGAAGUAACAGCAAAAAAAAUGACUGUGGGAUUAAUGCAAGGAGAGAGGAAAAAUUUGACUUUUUCAAAAUUAAACAAAUAACUAAUCUUCUAUUAAGGAAUAAAACUCCUCCUCUCUCAACUCGUGUGAAAGCAAACUGAAAGAAAAAAAAGUUCCCUUUUCUCCUUCCAAAUCAUGCGCUUUAUGCCACCAUCUCCUUCUUUUUCAAAAAAAAAAAACUUAAAACAAAAACAUAAACAGCAACAAA
rnacentral:lncRNA from 1 species